GGCGAACGGCUGAGUAACACGUGGGCAAUCUGCCCUGCACUCUGGGAUAAGCCUGGGAAACUGGGUCUAAUACUGGAUAGGACCUUUCUCCUCAUGGGGUUUGGUGGAAAGUUUUUCGGUGCAGGAUGAGCCCGCGGCCUAUCAGCUUGUUGGUGGGGUAAUGGCCUACCAAGGCGACGACGGGUAGCCGGCCUGAGAGGGUGAUCGGCCACAUUGGGACUGAGAUACGGCCCAGACUCCUACGGGAGGCAGCAGCC
rnacentral:rRNA from 1 species